CCACCCUCAGUCUCCAGCUGUUUUACAAAAUUACCACUUAUGUGUUUAUGGCUCUGUGGGCUUCUGCUCCUGAGGCUAUGCUCCCAGCCUGUCAGAAUGACAACCUUGCAGGCUGCAACCCUUUAAGAGAAACAAAGCUCUCCUCUCCACAUUUAUGAGCCUGUCAUCCUCAUUCUUCAGUUGCCACACUAAGGAAAGAGCCCUGGAGAUGAAGGAGAUAGAAGAAGAAACUGGGACUCGGAGAAAUUAUAUACUUUGCUCAGAGUCAUCCAUCUGGUAAGGGACAGACCUGUACUUCUUUCCUCCUCAGACUUAAGUUGGACUUAUUUUGAAUCAAAGCAAGUCCUGUGAGAAUGGAAGUAUUCAACUCAUCCCAUCUAGUAAAUGCCUAUUCUCUUUCUACUUUCUCAACUCAUCCAUUUUGCCUUCUCAUUAAUUGCACAGUCGUAGAGAAAAAUGCCUUCUAGACCUUAAUUGAAGAAAUACAGAAUGCUAUAAAACUUCAACAAGUUUGAAAUUUCUACAUUUCAAAACUCUCAACUAAAAUGUGCUGUUAUUUCUACAUAUUUCUGGCCUCUUCUAGCCAAGAGGAACGUCUAGAAAUGAGAGAACAGACCACCCUAAAUAUAAAAAUUCUAUUUUUAAAAAGUCCUAAAAACUGAGAAACAGCAUGUACCAAAAUAAAGGAAACAUAAAUUAGAGAAGUGAACAAUGAAUUUCAUUGUGUUUGCAAGUAACUCUUAAUUCUGCACAUUUUUAUCAUAAAAUCAUAGCCACUUCAGACAAACCAACCAAUAAGCUAAGUCCAUCUCAAGGCACAGACAGAGACAUACAAACAUUUCCCAAAUUUAUAAAUCAAUAGAACACUCAAUUAAUAACAACAAUCCAUACUUCUUUGCUGCUGACAAGAAACCAGAACAAUUUGUGAAUUGAAAAAUGUUCUCAUCAUGAUCGCCAACGUUUAUGAAGUUUAUGUCAUUUGUCCUUGUGGAUGACCAUGAGAAAGCAAGAUGAAUUAGGCAUGACCAUUGCCCUCAAGAUAUUUACCUCCAGGAGCAACACAGGCACACACAAAUCACAGUAAAUAUGUCACAAGCCACCAUGGAAGGAUGAGCCAAGAGCUGAUGGAACACAGUGUGAGAAUACCUGUCAGAGAAGGCUUUAUUGAAAGGUUGAUGUCACCAAGCAUUGCUUUCUGCAAUACUGCUCAGCUGUAAAUGUCGAGGACUUCAAUCCACCAUCAUAGUUUGGUUGACAGUGCAGGCAAAAGAAAGGUACUUAUUAAGAAUCUCAUUGCUGCAAGACGCUGGGAUUUUGAACUAGUCUGUGGCUUUAAUUCCAUAGAGGAUGUGGAAUAAUCUGGUCAUAGCCCUGAACCCAACCCCAACCCCAUUCCUGCACAAGCCCCUCUCUGUCCCUGUUCCCCUUGGCCUGAAGCACUAAACCCAAGCCUCAUCCUGGUGGACCAGGACAGACCAGUUAGCCUCUGCCUUUCAAUAACCCAUCCACCUGCACCCAAAUCCCCCAGCCAUCAGCUCUGAUCGUACUCCAAACUAUUGCCCACAACAUUGAGCCUGACUCACUCUGGGAGCCUUCCCAUAUGACUCUGGGUGUUGAACAUGCACCUUAAACCAUGGGUGAUUCUCAGGCUGUCAGUUCACUGCUGGCUUGAUCUAGGCUGCUGUUUUAUCAAACACUGCUGCCCAUAAUUCCUCUACUUUUCCUUUUUCCAGCUGCCUCAAUUCUGCAUGCCUCCACACUCCCAUCUAAGCAUUAUUACUGCCAUUCCCAGCCUGGACUCCCAGACUGUCUGGCUGGCUGUUAGACCACUGACAUCAAGGUGAAGGUCAGAGGUUAUAGAUUAUUAUUCAGCCUUGCUAAUUUGGCCCUUGGUAGAGCUUAGGGUAAUUUGUCUUCCCAUCUAUAAGGAAGUCAGGGUGAACAGAAUUUCCUCUUUGCCUCUCCCAAACACUAAUUUUAUUCCCGCUUUCAUUCAUUCGCAAGUAAUUGUGGAUGAGACUUCCUUGCCCUGCUCUGGGCUGAGUACUGAGUAUACAGUGGGGAACAUUGUUGCCCUCUUUGGAGCUGCCUCCAGACUUCCACGACCCUGCCCCACACAUGGACCACAUUCCUAGGCUUUUGCAGAUUUGGGCUGAAAGAGGAAGAGCCAGAACUCAGAGGCUCUGUGGAUGCUGGACUUGGACUGAGGAUUGUCCGUUUGGGGAAUUCAGCUUAACUAUUAGUUAGGUCUUUUCAGCUGUCCCUCAGGAAACCUGUAAGCACAGUGACCACAUCUGCCUGUGUUGGUUAUGCCUAGUGGUGUUUGCUCUGCAUUUUGAAGGAUCAGUGAAAGAUCACAGAAAUAAGAGGAAAACUUAUUCCAGGAAGAGGAAACAUCAAAGUCAAAAGCAAGAUGGUACUCCAUAAAUACAAAUGGUGGAUUUGUUUGUCAAUCCUAAUGUUGAGAAUGAGAGAUAAUACAGUAUCUUCAGCACUAUAGUUAAAACAAGUCACUGUGCUGAUUGCAUUGUAGAAGAAAGGAUAAGGCCUAAUGUCUUUCUCCAAUGUGGGUAUAUUUGUUUUCUAUUGCUGACUUAAUAAGCUCCACAAAGUUAGUGGCUUAAAACAACACAAAUUGAUUGACAGUGCUGUAGGUUAGCAAUCUAACAUGGGUCUCACUGGCCUAAAUUAAGCUGUCAGUAGGACGGUGCUUUCUUCUGAAAGCACUAGAGGAGAAUUUAUAUCCUUGCAUUUCGAGCUUCUGAAGACCACCCACAUUUCUUUGUUCAUGGCCUCUUCCUCCUCGUUUGGGAAAAGACUCCUUCCUUCAUAUCCUAUCUCCCUGACCACAGCUGGGAAAUUUUCUCUGCUCUUCAGGAUUAACGUGAUUAUAUUAGGUCCAGUUGUAUAAUCAAGAAUCAUCUCCGCAUUUCAAGAUCCUUAAUCUUUGUUACAUCUGCAAAGUCUCUUUUUACAUUUAAGUUAACUCUUACUGGCUCCAAGGUCCAGGGCACGGACAUUUUGGAGAUGAAGGAGAUUGUUCUGCUGACCACAGUGGUGUUAAGAGCCAGGUCCAGGCCCAAAUUUGUAUAUUUUUCUAUAAUAAUUUUUGUUAUAAUAUUAAAGUAAAGCGUACCCUGGAGUUAACUGAUUAGAUCUAAAUAGUUUUAUAAAAUAGUUUUUCUUAGUUGCAAAUUACUAGUUAGUACUCUUACUAGUGAGGAUGAAGUCUUUGCUCAUCUCUAACUUCACUAACUGCCUCACCAUUCACCUUCAUGUGAAUAAAGCUGAUAGGAGGUUUAAAAGUUUUAACCUUCCAUGAAAAUCUGUUGGGAUCACUGUACUGUCUGCUCUUGUGCUUCCAAGAAACAUCCAGCCAUGGUUUGAAUGAUCACUUUCUAGUCAUAAUUCAUGGCAACGAAAGUGGGGUCUAAUACAAAUAAGCCUGAAUUAUGCAAAUGAAUAAAGGAGAUGCUCCACAGAGCAGAGAAAUAGAAACUUCAGAAAAACUAAAGGAGCUACUAUUUGACAUGGUGGCAGCUGCCCUAGUCCUUCCAUUUGCAGAUGUGUGUGACCUUGAGGACAGACAGCAACAUUCCUCAGUUACAGAUCAUGCUGCUGUGCCUCGGGCACAGGAAAAAAUGAUGUGUCUAAGUCCUUGGUCUAAGUCAUAUUGAUCAACCUCCAUUCUGCCCUGUAUUGUAACAGCUACAGCUGUUUCAUCAGGAGUGGGCCAGGCGUCGUGUGGGUUUGUCUGUGCAUAUCUCACGUCAAUGUCUCACUAAGGAGAAGCUGUGCAAAUGGCACUUAUGCUGGCCCAGUAGGUAUGUGGCUUAAACACAGGUUUGGCUACAAAGCCAAUUCUGUGCUCCUAACCAAUUAGUUUCACUUCUCUGAGCAUUAUUUUCUCCUUUGCAAUAUGUAAUCAUGAUAUCUACAUCAUCGUUUAGUAGCUAGAAUUAAGCAGGUUAAUGCGAAUACACACCUGCCAUUCAAUAGUGGAUACUUAAUAAAUAAUGAAUCAGAUCAUCUAUUUUUUAAAAUGUCUACAUGUUAGAUACAAUCUUAAGCCUUUCAAAUAAAAUGCAGUAGAAAAACACUAAGAUAGUAAUUAUGUAAUGUCACAUAAUAUAAUUAUGCAUAAUUGUUAAUGUUUAUUUUAUGUCAGAACUGGCUGGCAUCUCAUACUAGUAUCUCCUUUUUUUACAAGACAGCUUUGAAAUAUUGCUGCUCAAAUAAAUUAACAUUUUCAUUUCAGUGGGCAAAUCAGUUAGGGCCUGCAAGUUAUUCCAAUGCACAGGUUGUUCCACAUAACCUGAUAAUAGAAAGAAAUAAAAUGAACUUUUAUGUCUCCGCCAGAAAUUUUGAAGAGCUAGUCAUUUUUUUAUUUUACUUGUUUUAAAAGAUAUAUUAUCUGACUCAAACCAGGCACUGUAUUUUAUGACUGAAUUAGCAGAUUAAAGAGGAGAAUGUACAGAACAUGAAAAGUUUGAGGAUUCAGAAAAGAGUUGGAGUAUAUGAAGAUAAUAAUAUGGCACAAGAUUUUUUACAUUUGUAGACGUUUUAUUCAAGAAUAAAAUAUAUAUAAAAAGUACAGAAUUGAUUUGUGUGGAGCUCAAUAAUUUUUAUAUAAAGUAAAUGCUCCCAUUGAUCUGCACUUUUGAGACCAACCAUAUGUGCCAUCCCAGCCACUAAUUCCUCCCACAGGCAAAAACUAAUGCAACUACAUCCCUGGAGAUGAGAUUUCCCUCACUGGGACUUUAUACAAAUGGGGUUACAUACAGUGUGUGGUCUUUUGUGUCCGACUUGUCUUACUCUAUUUUGCAUUUGUGUGAUUCAUUCUUGUUAAAUGGUACAUAUAAUAGUAAUUCUUUCUUUUUCAUUUAUGUAUAGUCUUUAUAGAAUAAAUAUUCCACAGUUCAUAUAUCCAAUCUAAAGGGGCAUUUGGUUUGUUUCCAAUCUGCAGCUAUUGCAAGUAAUGAUGCUAUGAAUAUUCUUGUAUGUAUCUCUUGUUCAUAUUUGUGUGAAGCAUUUUUGAUAGUUUUUAUCUACAGGAUUCCUGGGUAAAGGGAAAGUGGAUGUUCUGCAUUAAUAAAUACCACUAAAGUGUUUUCCAAAUUGGCUACUCCACUUUUCACUCUCAUGCAUAGUUUUUGGAAGUUUCUGUUGUUUCAUAAAUUUGUCAACAUUUGAUAUGUCCUGCACAUGGAUUUUUAUAGCAGCUUUAUUCAUAAUUGCCAAAACUUGGAAAUGUCAAACAAGAUGUCCUUCAGUAGGUGAGUGGAUAAAUAAACUGUGGUAAAUCCAGAUGAUUAAAUGUUACACACCACUACAAAGAAAUGAGCCAUGAAGCCAUUGAAAGACAUGGAGGACUCGAAAACAUAAAGUAGGGAAAGGACACCCUUUUCAACAAAUGGUGCUGGGAUAAUUGGCUAGCCACAUGUAGGAGAAAGAAACUGGAUCCUCAUCUCUCACCUUAUACAAAAAUCGACUAAGAUGGAUUAAGGACUUAAACCUAAGACCUGAAACUAUAAAAAUUCUAGAAGAUAACAUUGGAAAACCCCUUCUAGAUAUUGGCUCAGGCAAGGAUUUCAUGAUCAAAAACCCAAAAGCAAAUGCAAUAAAACACAAAGAUAAAUAGCGGGGACCUAAUUAAACUAAAAAGCUUUUGCACAGCAAAAGGAAUAGUCAGCAGAGUAAACAGACAACCCACAGAGUGGGAGAAAAUCUUCACAGUCUAUAUAUCUGACAAAGGACUGAUAUCCAGAAUCUGCAACAAACUUAAACAAAUCCUUAAGAAAAAAACAAACAAUCCCGUCAAAAAGUGGGCUAAAGACAGGAACAGAUAAUUCUCAUAAGAAGAUAUACAAAUGGCCAACAGACAUAUGAAAAAAUGGUCGACAUCACUAAUGAUCAGGGAAAUGCAAAUCAAAACCACAAUGCGAUACCCCGUACUCCUGCAAGAAUGGCCAUAAUCAAAAAAUCAAAAAACAGUAGAUGCUGGCAUGGAUCUAGUAAUCAGGCAACACUUCUACACUGCUGGUAGGAAUGUAAACUAGUAUAGCCACUAUGGAAAACAGUGUGGAGAUUCCUUAAAGAACCAAAAGUAGAACUACCAUUUGAUCCAGCAAUCCCACUAUUGGGUAUCUACCCAGAGGAAAAGAAGUCAUUAUUUGAAAAAGAUACUUGAACACAAAUGUUUACAGCAGCACAAUUCACAAUUGCAAAAUCAUGAAGCCAACCCAAAUGCCCACCAAUCAACGAGUGAAUAAAGAAACUGAUGUUUCUUUAUACUCCUCAGCCAUAAAAAGGAAUGAAUCAACAGCAUUUGCAAUCAUCUGGAUGAGAUCGGAGACUAUUACUCUAAGAGAAGUAACUCAGGAAUGGAAAACCAAACAUCAUACAUUCUUACCGAUAUGUGGGAGCUAAUCUAUGAGGAUGCAAAGGCAUAAGAAUGAUACAAUGGACUUUGGGGACUUGGGGGGAAGAAUGGGAGGGGGACGAGGGAUAAAAGACAACACAGAUGGUGCAGUGUAUGCUGCUCGAGUGAUGAGCAUACCAGGAUCUCACAAAUCACCACUAAAGAACUUAUGUAACCAAAUGCCACUUGUACCCCAAUAACUUCUGGAAAAAUAAAAUAAUAAUAAAAAAUAAAAGACAUGGAGGAAACUUAAAUGCAUAUUACUGAGUGAAAGAAGUCAACGUGAAGAGGCUACAUACUAUGUGAUUCUAACUAUAUGACAUUUUGGAAAAGGCAAAACUAAGGAGACAGUAAAAAGGUCAGUGGUUGCCAAGGGUUUUAUAUAUAUUAAUCAUAGCCAUCUGGUGGUUGUGUCGUGGUGUCUCAUUGUGAUUUUAACUUAACUGAAUGGAUAUGGGUCUAUUUAUGACAUCCCUUUUCAAUUCUGUUUACCCAUAUUGUUUUUCUUGUGCCAGUACCAAAAUGUCUUAUUUAUUGUAGCUUUACAGUAUGUCUUGAAAUCUGGUUAAAUUCUCCAAAUUGGUUCAAGGUUUUCUUGGACAUUAUUGGCAUUUCCAUAUAUAUGAGGUAGAGUUACCUUGUCAAAUUCUAAACGUACAUAAAUGCACAUAUAUUCACAAACUUUGCUGAGUAAUUAAAUCUAUAAAUCAAUUUGGGAAUAAUUACAAUGUUACCUUUUAACUUAUAAACAUGAGAUAUCAAUCUAUUUAUUUAGGUCUUCUUUGCUCAUCCUUGUUUUCAUUUGUCCCUGGAAAUCUGAUUAAUUUCAGAUAAGAUUUUUAAAAAUUGUAUAAUUUACAAAUUGUAAAAUUGUAUAAUUUUUAUAAUUUCAUGUUUUUAUUUUUGUCACAAUAUGUAGA
rnacentral:lncRNA from 10 species